rnacentral:tRNA from 1 species
GGACCAUUAGCGCAACUGGUUAGAGCAAGCCCCUCAUAAGGGUUAGGUUCUGGGUUCAAGUCCUAGAUGGUCCACCA